UACGGAGGGUGCAAGCGUUAUCCGGAUUUACUGGGUUUAAAGGGUGCGUAGGUGGGUCUGUAAGUCAGUGGUGAAAUCUUCAAGCUUAACUUGGAAACUGCCAUUGAUACUAUAGGUCUUGAAUUGUCUGGAGGUAAGCGGAAUAUGUCAGUGUAGCGGUGAAAUGCUUAGAUAUGACAUAGAACACCAAUUGCGAAGGCAGCUUAC
rnacentral:rRNA from 1 species